AAAUGGAUCUAGAUAAGUAUACAUGUCUUUAAACAGUAAGAUUUACAUUGCUCUUCUGUUUCCCUUUUGAACAGCCUAAGAAAUGUACCUUGGCCUCUUAACAUAAAGAAAGACAAACAGAAAUCUGUCCAGCACAUCUGAAAAUACACUGGAGAGUGUCCUGAUGCAACUUGAAACUGACCACCUGAUAGGAUGUAAUGUACAUAUCUGUGCUUUCCCAUAUUCCAUAUAAAAUUGUUAACUAAAUAGAGAUGGCUUGAACAUCUGUCAAUUUCAGGGCUGACCAGAUCCUUCUCCCAUCUUGAAGCCUUUCUCAAAGAGACAAGCAGUACAGUGAUGAUGAUCAGCCACCAGCCAAUGGACACUG